UACAGAGGUCCCAAGCGUUGUUCGGAAUCACUGGGCGUAAAGGGCGCGUAGGCGGCCGAUUAAGUCGGGGGUGAAAGCCUGUGGCUCAACCACAGAAUUGCCUCGAUACUGGUUGGCUUGAGACCGGAAGAGGACAGCGGAACUGCGAGUGUAGAGGUGAAAUUCGUAGAUAUUCGCAAGAACACCAGUGGCGAAGGCGGCUGUCUGGUCCGGUUCUGACGCUGAGGCGCGAAAGCGUGGGGAGCAAACAGG
rnacentral:rRNA from 1 species